rnacentral:rRNA from 1 species
UACGUAGGGUGCAAGCGUUGUCCGGAAUUAUUGGGCGUAAAGAGCUCGUAGGCGGUCUGUCGCGUCGGCUGUGAAAACCCGGGGCUCAACCCCGGGCCUGCAGUCGAUACGGGCAGACUAGAGUGUGGUAGGGGAGACUGGAAUUCCUGGUGUAGCAGUGAAAUGCGUAGAUAUCAGGAGGAACACCGAUGGCGAAGGCAGGUCUCUGGGCUGACACUGACGCUCAUGCACGAAAGCGUGGGGAGCAAACAGG